GUCCCGUACACCAAAAUGCACAGGUUGUGAACUCGAAGAGUAGGGCGGGACACGUGGUAUCCUGUCUGAAUAUGGGGGGACCAUCCUCCAAGGCUAAAUACUCCUGACUGACCGAUAGUGAACCAGUACCGUGAGGGAAAGGCGAAAAGAACCCCGGCGAGGGGAGUGAAAAAGAACCUGAAACCGUGUACGUACAAGCAGUGGGAGCACCUUCGGGUGUGACUGCGUACCUUUUGUAUAAUGGGUCAGCGACUUAUAUUCUGUAGCAAGGUUAACCGUAUAGGGGAGCCGCAGGGAAACCGAGUCUUAACUGGGCGUUAAGUUGCAGGGUAUAGACCCGAAACCCGGUGAUCUAGCCAUGGGCAGGUUGAAGGUUGGGUAACACUAACUGGAGGACCGAACCGACUAAUGUUGAAAAAUUAGCGGAUGACUUGUGGCUGGGGGUGAAAGGCCAAUCAAACCGGGAGAUAGCUGGUUCUCCCCGAAAGCUAUUUAGGUAGCGCCUCGUGAAUUCAUCUUCGGGGGUAGAGCACUGUUUCGGCUAGGGGGUCAUCCCGACUUACCAACCCGAUGCAAACUACGAAUACCGAAGAAUGUUAUCACGGGAGACACACGGCGGGUGCUAACGUCCGUCGUGAAGAGGGAAACAACCCAGACCGCCAGCUAAGGUCCCAAAGUCAUGGUUAAGUGGGAAACGAUGUGGGAAGGCACAGACAGCCAGGAUGUUGGCUUAGAAGCAGCCAUCAUUUAAAGAAAGCGUAAUAGCUCACUGGUCGAGUCGGCCUGCGCGGAAGAUGUAACGGGGCUAAACCAUGCACCGAAGCUGCGGCAGCGACACUAUGUGUUGUUGGGUAGGGGAGCGUUCUGUAAGCCUGCGAAG
rnacentral:rRNA from 1 species